rnacentral:rRNA from 1 species
UACGUAGGGGGCAAGCGUUAUCCGGAUUCACUGGGUGUAAAGGGAGCGUAGACGGCGACGCAAGUCUGGAGUGAAAGCCCGGGGCCCAACCCCGGGACUGCUCUGGAAACUGCGGCGCUGGAGUACGGGAGGGGCAGGCUGAAUUCCUGGUGUAGCGGUGAAAUGCGUAGAUAUCAGGAGGAACACCGGCGGCGAAGGCGGCCUGCUGGACCGUGACUGACGUUGAGGCUCGAGAGCGUGGGGAGCAAACAGG